GACGGAGGUGCCGAGCGUUAGGCGGAAUCACUGGGCUUAAAGCGUGUGUAGGCGGGCCGUUAAGUAUCUUGUGAAAUCCCCCGGCUCAACCGGGGAAUGGCUGGAUAUACUGGCGGUCUUGAGCGAUCUAGGGGCAGAUGGAACAGACGGUGGAGCGGUGAAAUGCGUAGAUAUCGUCUGGAACGCCAAAGGUGAAGACAGUCUGCUGGGGAUCUGCUGACGCUGAGACACGAAAGCCAGGGGAGCGAACGGG
rnacentral:rRNA from 1 species